rnacentral:lncRNA from 1 species
AAAAAAAAAAAAACAAUCACAGUGAAGACCCAAGAUGGGUUUGUGCUCCUGAGUGCCUUUGCUGAGUGUCAUUUGGAGGAUCAACCCAUCCUAUCUUAUGAGAACAACAUAGCAAAGCUGGAGCAGCUGCAGGGUGAAGCCGACUUGGGAGCUGAGAUAUCCAGUACUUGGCAGAGUUAAGAGCCUCAUUGUGAUCCUAGCCAAUAUGAAAUGCCACAACCUGUGUGGCAGAAGAGUUUACAGAGUGAGAAAUGAAGAGCUCAAGAAGCUACAAAACCCAGGGAGCCAGCAGGUGGCGCCCGGCGACCGUAAUGGCCCCGCGCAGCUGGCAUUUCUGGUGCCUGCACCUGGGUCCCCUGGAGCCGCCUAGGGAGCAUAGGCUCCCCAGCCCAGGGCCCUAGUGGCAGCGCCCUCCCGGCUCUGACCAGCACUUUGUUUCUUGGUGCCUCAGUUUCAUCAUCUCCACAGUGGGGAGACU